rnacentral:lncRNA from 1 species
GCAUAAAUACCUCCCAGCUCUCUCUCUCUCUCCGUUGCAAGCAUCUCGUUGGCUCUCUCUUCAGUGCAAAUACAUCGCCAGCUUUCUCUCUCUACAGUGCAAAUAUAUCAUUGACAUUUUUUUCUCUCCCUCCCUCCCUUUUCUCUCCGACGCAAGCACCUCUUACUCCCUCUCUCUUCAUCUCUCUCUCUCAUCGGUACAAACUCCUCUUAUUCUCACUCUCCCUCACUUUUUUUCUCAUAA